rnacentral:rRNA from 1 species
GUAGCUAAUACCGAAUAAGGUCAAUUGAGGUGUUAAUUGAUGAAAGGAAGCCUUUAAAGCUUCGCUUGUAGAUGAGUCUGCGUCUUAUUAGCUAGUUGGUGGGAUAAGAGCCUACCAAGGCUAUGAUAAGUAACCGGCCUGAGAGGGUGAUCGGUCACACUGGAACUGAGAUACGGUCCAGACUCCUACGGGAGGCAGCAGCUAAGAAUCUUCCGCAAUGGGCGAAAGCCUGACGGAGCGACACUGCGUGAACGAAGAAGGUCGAAAGAUUGUAAAGUUCUUUUAUAAGUGAGGAAUAAGCUUUGUAGGAAAUGACAAAGUGAUGACGUUAAUUUAUGAAUAAGCCCCGGCUAAUUACGUGCCAGCAGCCGCGGUAAUACGUAAGGGGCGAGCGUUGUUCGGGAUCAUUGGGCGUAAAGGGUGAGUAGGCGGAUAUGCAAGUCUAUGUGUAAAAUACCACAGCUCAACUGUGGAACUAUGCUGGAAACUGCAUGACUAGAGUCUGAUAGGGGAAGUUAGAAUUCCUGGUGUAAGGGUGGAAUCUGUUGAUAUCAGGAAGAAUACCAGAGGCGAAGGCGAACUUCUAGGUCAAGACUGACGCUGAGUCACGAAAGCGUAGGGAGCAAACAGGAUUAGAUACCCUGGUAGUCUACGCUGUAAACGAUGCACACUUGGUGUUAAUCGAAAGGUUAGUACCGAAGCUAACGUGUUAAGUGUGCCGCCUGGGGAGUAUGUUCGCAAGAAUGAAACUCAAAGGAAUUGACGGGGGCCCGCACAAGCGGUGGAGCAUGUGGUUUAAUUCGAUGAUACGCGAGGAACCUUACCAGGGCUUGACAUAUACAGGAUAUAGUUAGAGAUGACUAUUCCCCGUUUGGGGUCUGUAUACAGGUGCUGCAUGGUUGUCGUCAGCUCGUGCCGUGAGGUGUUGGGUUAAGUCCCGCAACGAGCGCAACCCUUAUUGUCUGUUACCAGCAUGUAAAGAUGGGGACUCAGACGAGACUGCCGGUGAUAAGCCGGAGGAAGGUGAGGAUGACGUCAAAUCAUCAUGGCCCUUAUGUCCUGGGCUACACACGUGCUACAAUGGCCUGUACAAAGCGAUGCGAAACAGUGAUGUGAAGCAAAACGCAGAAAGCAGGUCUCAGUCCAGAUUGAAGUCUGAAACUCGGCUUCAUGAAGUUGGAAUCGCUAGUAAU